UCCCUUCCAUUUACUCUGAUGUAUACUGCCAUUUCCCCCAUGCUGUGGUUGACCAAGGAACUGCUCGAGCACGGAGUACAACUCAGACCUUAUAUCACCCUUAAAUCCUUCCUGAAACUCCUUGAGCCGUGUGUCCAGUUUGGCAUCAAUUUCGACUCGUAGCUGAGAUAAUUCCUGCUUAAGUUGACCCAUUUCCUUUUGCAAUCUGGUGGUGACGCCGUCAAUACGUACUGUCUCUGAUACCUUUGUG
rnacentral:lncRNA from 1 species